GACGAAUGCUGGCGGCGUGCUUAACACAUGCAAGUCGAGCGGAGCAGCGAACGGGUGAGUAACGCGAGAGUAACUGCCCCCCUCUCUGGGAUAACAGUUGGAAACGGCUGCUAAUACCGGACAGUGGGGGAUGACUUGCGUCCUAUCAGCUUGUUGGAGGGGUAGUGGCCUACCAAGGCGACGACGGGUAGCCGGACGUAGAGGGCGACCGGUCAACUUGGGCUGAGAUACGGCCCGAACUCCUACUGGAGGCAGCAGUGGGGAAUAGUGCACAAGGGGGGAAACCCGAAUGCAGCAACGCCGCGUGCGUGGUGACGGCCUUCGGGGUGUAAACCGCUUUCAGCCAUGACGCGUUAGUGGCAGAAGAAGCACCGGCUAACUACGUGCCAGCAGCCGCGGUAAUUC
rnacentral:rRNA from 1 species